GCCAAACUGGGUUAAUUCUGUUGGUAGAGCAUGGACUCUUAAUCUCAGGGUUGUGGGUUUGAGCCCCACAUUGGGCA